GACGAACGCUGGCGGCGUGCCUAAUACAUGCAAGUCGAACGCACUCUCGUUUAGAUUGAAGGAGCUUGCUCCUGAUUGAUAAACAUUUGAGUGAGUGGCGGACGGGUGAGUAACACGUGGGUAACCUGCCCUAAAGUGGGGGAUAACAUUUGGAAACAGAUGCUAAUACCGCAUAAAACCUAAACACCGCAUGGUGUAGGGUUAAAAGAUGGUUUCGGCUAUCACUUUAGGAUGGACCCGCGGUGCAUUAGUUAGUUGGUGAGGUAAAAGGCUCACCAAGACCGUGAUGCAUAGCCGACCUGAGAGGGUAAUCGGCCACACUGGGACUGAGACACGGCCCAGACUCCUACGGGAGGCAGCAGUAGGGAAUCUUCCACAAAUGGACGAAAAGUCUGAUGGAGCAACGCCGCGUGAGUGAAG
rnacentral:rRNA from 1 species